rnacentral:rRNA from 1 species
GACGAACGCUGGCGGCGUGCUUAACACAUGCAAGUCGAACGGUAAGGCCCUUUCGGGGGUGCACGAGUGGCGAACGGGUGAGUAACACGUGGGUGAUCUGCCCUGCACUUUGGGAUAAGCCUGGGAAACUGGGUCUAAUACCGGAUAGGACUACGCGAUGCAUGUCGUGUGGUGGAAAGCUUUUGCGGUGUGGGAUGGGCGCGCGGCCUAUCAGCUUGUUGGUGGGGUGAUGGCCUACCAAGGCGACGACGGGUAGCCGGCCUGAGAGGGUGUCCGGCCACACUGGGACUGAGAUACGGCCCAGACUCCUACGGGAGGCAGCAGUGGGGAAUAUUGCACAAUGGGCGCAAGCCUGAUGCAGCGACGCCGCGUGGGGGAUGACGGCCUUCGGGUUGUAAACCCCUUUCAGCACAGACGAAGCGUAAGUGACGGUAUGUGCAGAAGAAGCACCGGCCAACUACGUG